UUCCGGUUGAUCCUGCCGGACCCGACUGCUAUUUGGGUGAGAAUAAGCCAUGCAAGUCGAAUGGGAUUCCUAAAAUUCCCAUGGCUAACUGCUCAGUAACACAUGAUCAACUUACCCUAUAGAGAAAAAUAACCUCGGGAAACUGAGGAUAAUAUUUCAUAGUUGAAUAGGCUUGGAAAAGUUUUUCAAUAAAAAGGAUAAGAAAAAUGGUUCUUAUUCGCUAUAGGAUAGGAUCGUGGACGAUUAUGGUUGUUGGUGAGGUAACGGCUCACCAAGCCGAUAAUCGAUAGGGGCCGUGAGAGCGGGAGCCCCGAGAUGGGUACUGAGACAACGACCCAGGCCUUACGAGGCGCAGCAGGCGCGAAACCUCCACAAUACACGAAAGUGUGAUGGGGUUACCCAAAGUGUUCUAUUAAGAACUGUGGUAGGUGAGUAAUGUUCCCUACUAGAAAGGAGAGGGCAAGGCUGGUGCCAGCCGCCGCGGUAAAACCAGCUCUUCAAGUGGUCGGGAUAAUUAUUGGGCUUAAAGUGUCCGUAGCCGGUUUAGUAAGUUCCUGGUAAAAUCGGGUAGCUUAACUAUCUGCAUGCUAGGAAUACUGCUAUACUAGAGGGCGGGAGAGGUCUGAGGUACUACAGGGGUAGGGGUGAAAUCUUAUAAUCCUUGUAGGACCACCAGUGGCGAAGGCGUCAGACUGGAACGCGCCUGACGGUGAGGGACGAAAGCCAGGGGAGCGAACCGGAUUAGAUACCCGGGUAGUCCUGGCCGUAAACGAUGCAUACUAGGUGAUGGCACGGCCAUGAGCCAUGUCAGUGCCGUAGGGAAACCGUUAAGUGUGCCGCCUGGGAAGUACGGUCGCAAGGCUAAAACUUAAAGGAAUUGGCGGGGGAGCAC
rnacentral:rRNA from 1 species